rnacentral:tRNA from 2 species
GCCCUGGUGGUGGAAUUGGCAGACACAGCAGAUUUAAAAUCUGCCGGGCGGUUACGCCCUUGCGGGUUCGAGUCCCGCCCUGGGUAC